rnacentral:rRNA from 1 species
AUUGAACGCUGGCGGCAGGCCUAACACAUGCAAGUCGAACGAGUGGCGGACGGGUGAGUAAUGUCUGGGAAACUGCCCGAUGGAGGGGGAUAACUACUGGAAACGGUAGCUAAUACCGCAUACCAUCGGAUGUGCCCAGAUGGGAUUAGCUAGUAGGUGGGGUAACUGCUCACCUAGGCGACGAUCCCUAGCUGGUCUGAGAGGAUGACCAGCCACACUUGUAAUGAGACUCGGUCCAGACUCCUACGGGAGGCGGCAGUGGUGAAUAGUGCACAAUGGGCGAAAACCUGAUGCAGCCAGGCGGCGUGUAUGAAGAAGGCCUUCGGGUGGUAAAGUACUUUCAGCGAGGAGGCGUUACUCGCAGAAGAAGCACCGGCUAACUCCGUUCCAGCAGCCGCGGUAAUAC